UACGUAGGGUGCUAACGUUGUUCGGAAUCAUUGGGCGUAAAGCGCGUGUAGGUGGUUACACAAGUUGGAUGUGAAAUCCCUGGGCUUAACCGAGGAAGUGCAUCCAAAACUAGGUAGCUAGAGGACGGUAGAGGAAGGUGGAAUUCCAAGUGUAGAGGUGAAAUUCGUAGAUAUUUGGAGGAAUACCUGUGGCGAAGGCGGCCUUCUGGGCCGUUCCUGACACUGAGACGCGAAAGCGUGGGGAGCAAACAGG
rnacentral:rRNA from 1 species